ACUAUUUUUUAUUAUUCAGUGAAAGAAUAAGAAAUAUAGAAGCAACCGAAGAAGAAAAACAAAAAUUAUUAAGAGAAAGAAUGAUAAAGAAAGAGAGUGGUACUUCAUUUGUUCCAACCAACAUGGCUGUCAAUUUUGUUCAGCACAACAGAUUCAAUAUUGAAGAAACUGACAUUCCCAAACCAAAACGACAGAA